rnacentral:rRNA from 1 species
CCUCCGGGGGGCAGCAGUGGGGAAUAUUGGACAAUGGGCGAAAGCCUGAUCCAGCCAUGCCGCGUGUGUGAAGAAGGCCUUCGGGUUGUAAAGCACUUUCAGUGGGGAAGAAAGCCUUGGGGCUAAUACCCUCGAGGAAGGACAUCACCCACAGAAGAAGCACCGGCUAACUCCGUGCCAGCAGCCGCGGUAAUACGGAGGGUGCGAGCGUUAAUCGGAAUUACUGGGCGUAAAGCGCGCGUAGGCGGUCUGAUAAGCCGGUUGUGAAAGCCCCGGGCUCAACCUGGGAACGGCAUCCGGAACUAUCAGGCUAGAGUGCAGGAGAGGAAAGUAGAAUUCCCGGUGUAGCGGUGAAAUGCGUAGAGAUCGGGAGGAAUACCAGUGGCGAAGGCGGUCUUCUGGACUGACACUGACGCUGAGGUGCGAAAGCGUGGGUAGCAAACAGGAUUAGAUACCCGAGUAGUC